CCUACUGGAGGCUGCAGCUAAGAAUAUUCCGCAAUGGGAGAUAUCCUGACGGAGCGACACCGCGUGAACGAAGAAGGCAGAAAUGUUGUAAAGUUCUUUUAUACGGGAAGAAUAAGGGCAUGAGUGGAAAGUGUGCCUGAUGACGGUACCGUAUGAAUAAGCCACGGCUAACUACGUGCCAGCAGCCGCGGUAAUACGUAGGUGGCAAGCGUUGUUCGGAAUUAUUGGGCGUAAAGGGCAUGUAGGCGGUAAGAUAAGUGUGAAUUGAAAGACUGAGGCUUAACCUCACGUUUGGUUUGCAAACUGUCUAACUAGAGUGCAGAAGGGGAAACUGGAAUUCCGCGUGUAGGGGUGAAAUCUGUAGAUAUGCGGAAGAAUACCUGUGGCGAAGGCGAGUUUCUGGUCUGUAACUGACGCUGAAAUGCGAAAGUGUGGGGAGCAAACAGGAUUAGAUACCCCUGUANUC
rnacentral:rRNA from 1 species